rnacentral:pre_miRNA from 1 species
AGGUGCUGAGACAGUGUAAGCACCUAUGAGACAGUGUAAGAGGUGCUCACACUGUCUCAUAGGUGCUUACACUGUCUCAGAGGUGCU